UGGGCAUUGGCUGAACUUGGGUUUUUUCACACUCUCGCUGACCAACCACGACCCUCCAUGGCGCAUAGUCGGUGUCUCCACGCCCUAACCCGUGAAACCAUAGCUCUACUCUCUUCGAACCCUACACACGACGCUGCCCACUCAUUUCCACUAACGCUGACUCCACCUUGUUUUACUCUUUGCCUCACCACCUUCAUCGCCAUUUCUCGUCAAAUUCUCUCGGCGAAAGCGAAAACGAAGAGGAACGUGAAGAGACGGUGGGCGAGGAUAUCAAUUUAGAGGAGGCAACGCGUUCUGGUUUGAGGGGAGAGUACUCGGCGGAGGAGAAGGAAAAGGAAAAGGAAAUGGAAGCUGCCGCUAUUGGAUAUAAGGUGAUUGGACCACUUCAGAAAACCGACCGGUUCUUUGAACCUUACGAUCUUGUUUUCGCUGUUGUUCAGGUGAGCAAUGGAGAUUGCAUUUUCACCUAGAGAUUGAAAUUCUGUGAAGUAAAUGACAAGGUGAUUUUAUUAAUGUUUAUGCUUGGACUUGAUCUUAUGCUGAACUUGUGGAUGUAAGAUAUUUUAGACACAGUAGUUGGCGUGUAAAGAGAGGCAGAUUUCCCUUUGGAAUUGACCCAGUUGAGAAUAACUGAUAUUCAAGGAAUUGAGAAACCAGAAAUGAAAGUGGUUAAGCAAGAAGAAAUGGUUGCAGUUGCUGUUUAUGAAUGAUUUUCCUCUGGCCAAAUAUUGAUAUACUGGCUUCCGAUGCUUAUAAUCUCAGAGCUGCAACUUUCUGAUUCUAUUUGAUGGGCUCAUUCCUGAUUUAUCAGUUGUACAUUUUGGAUGUCAUAGGAGGCAUAAAAAAUAGUCAUUUGACCAGAUACAUUUUGCAGUAUUGGCAUGCUGGGAUUAUAUUACAUCCUUUUCUAACUUUUUUUCUCUUUAUUUUGUUUGUAUGUACUCCUCAAAUGACACAGCAGGAAUAAUCAAUUACUAUUUUCUCUC